rnacentral:rRNA from 1 species
GGAUCAAUUUGCUGGUCGAGACCUCUGGUACGUACUGGUAUUAUUGAUUUCUUUCAUUCUGAUAGAUCAUUGAUGUCAUUAAUUUGAUGACUUUGAGGAAUCGGAACUUUUACUUUGAAAAAAUUAGAGUGUUUAAAGCAGGCUUAUUAGGCUUGAAUACAUUAGCAUGGAAUAAUGAAAUAGGACGAUUGAUCCUAUUUUUGUUGGUUUCUAGGAUUGACGUAAUGAUUAAUAGGGAUAGUUGG